rnacentral:sRNA from 1 species
CGCCUAACCCCUAUGGGCAACCAUAGGGUAUGGCAUAAAAACCAGUCACGGACACCAAACCCAUCGUUUGGGGUUACCGUGACUGGUCAUAUUCCGAAAGGAGUAUGGAUGGCUUCGGCCGUC